UGGAUCUUCAUGAUACCUUCCAUUCUCUUCGUUUUCGAGGCAUCUUGUGGAGGAUUGUGAGGGCAUAUUGGGCUAUUGAAAGACCUUGUCGUGAAGAUUAGUGAUGUCGUUCGAAUUCAAGGGUGCAACACCAACACAUAAAUCAUAAGGGAGUACCAAUUUCUUACCCAUUUUAUGAAAAGAGACAUCGUGUGCUUAGCAAAAUGAUUUUUGAAGGGUUCGUAUCAUUGAUAUGAAGAUGAUCUGAAGAGGAAGUUGAAUAUUAUCAACCUCUCUCAUCCAAGGUAUAAUAAUUGUAUUCUGUACCUUGAAGUGUUAGUUUUGUCAUGGACGUCAUAACAACGUAACAAUGAAUUGAUUUGAUGAGCAAGUUUGAAUCUGUUUCAUUACUUCUUA